rnacentral:rRNA from 1 species
CCUACGGGUGGCAGCAGUAGGGAAUUUUCCACAAUGGGCGAAACCCUGAUGCAGCGAUGCCGCGUGAGUGAAGAAGGAUUUCGGUAUGUAAAGCUCUAUCAGCAGGGAAGAAAAAAGACGGUACCUGACUAAUAAUCCCCGGCUAACGACGUGCCAGCAGCCGCGGCAAUACGCAGGCGGCAAGCGUUAGCCGUAUGGAGUGGGCGUAAAGGGACCGUAGGCGGCUGUGCAAGUCUGAAGUGAAAGGCCGUUGCUCAACCGAGGAACUGCGUUGGAACCUGGAUAGCUUGAGUGCUGGAGAGGGAGGCGGAAUUCCAGGUGUAGCGGUAAAAUGCGUAGAUAUAAGGAGGAACACCAGUGGCGAAGGCGGCCUGCUGGACAGAGGCUGACGUUGAGGCACGAAAGCGUGGGGAGCAAACAGGAUUAGAUACCCUAGUAGUC